GCGGGAGUGGCGUAAUUGGCAGCCGCGUCAGGUUUAGGUCCUGGUGUCCGAAAGGACGUAGGGGUUCGAGUCCCCUCUCCCGCAC
rnacentral:tRNA from 1 species